rnacentral:rRNA from 1 species
CACAUGCAAGUCGAACGGCAGCACGGGGGGCAACCCUGGUGGCGAGUGGCGGACGGGUGAGUAAAGCAUCGGAACGUAUCCUGGAGUGGGGGAUAACGUAGCGAAAGUUACGCUAAUACCGCAUAUUCUGUGAGCAGGAAAGCAGGGGAUCGCAAGACCUUGCGCUCUGGGAGCGGCCGAUGUCGGAUUAGCUAGUUGGUGGGGUAAAGGCCUACCAAGGCGACGAUCCGUAGCGGGUCUGAGAGGAUGAUCCGCCACACUGGGACUGAGACACGGCCCAGACUCCUACGGGAGGCAGCAGUGGGGAAUUUUGGACAAUGGGCGCAAGCCUGAUCCAGCCAUGCCGCGUGAGUGAAGAAGGCCUUCGGGUUGUAAAGCUCUUUCGGCGGGGAAGAAAUUGCACGGGUUAAUACCCUGUGUAGAUGACGGUACCCGAAUAAGAAGCACCGGCUAACUACGUG